GCACAAGCGGUGGAGCAUGUGGUUUAAUUCGAAGCAACGCGAAGAACCUUACCAAAUCUUGACAUCCUCUGACCCCUCUAGAGAUAGAGUUUUCCCCUUCGGGGGACAGAGUGACAGGUGGUGCAUGGUUGUCGUCAGCUCGUGUCGUGAGAUGUUGGGUUAAGUCCCGCAACGAGCGCAACCCUUAAGCUUAGUUGCCAUCAUUAAGUUGGGCACUCUAAGUUGACUGCCGGUGACAGACCGGAGGAAGGUGGGGAUGACGUCAAAUCAUCAUGCCCCUUAUGAUUUGGGCUACACACGUGCUACAAUGGACAAUACAAAGGGUAGCGAAACCGCGAGGUCAAGCAAAUCCCAUAAAGUUGUUCUCAGUUCGGAUUGUAGUCUGCAACUCGACUAUAUGAAGCUGGAAUCGCUAGUAAUCGUAGAUCAGCAUGCUACGGUGAAUACGUUCCCGGGC
rnacentral:rRNA from 1 species